CUAGCCUGGGUCCGCCCAGAGUGGGGUGUAGACCCGGAGAGAAGUACUGGGAGCAGAAUAGGAGGGCUCCAAUAAAAGGCAGAGCACCUUUCCCACCCAAGUUGGAGCGAUUCAGCUAAAGCAGCAGCAGCAGGAUGGGAGUGAGUGUGGCCGGUUUGGAAAUGCAGAAUCCUGAGUCCGCGAAGGCGGAUGGCCUCUAGAUGCCGCCAGUGAGCCCCGCUGACAGCCGGCAAGGAAACGGGGACCUCAGUCCUGCAAGCAGGCAACCUGAGGGCGUCUGGAAGCGGGUUCUCGGGCAGGUAGGGACACGGCCUUAGGAGACCCAGUGCAGAGACCAGCCAGGCCUGCUGGCUACAUGAACUCGCAUGGCUUUAAGCCACUGAAUCUGCGGGAAUUUGUUUUGGUCGAAGCCAUCUCAGGUGGCGGACAGGUAAGCAGCCGGGGACCGGGCGCCCUGGGGUCAGCCUGUACCUGCCCAGCCUGCAGCCCCGGAAGGCAGGUCACGUGGGAGAGGCACGCCUCUGGUUUCUUUCCCCGCCCUCCACACCAGAUGUGGGGGAGCUCCCGCACCAGGGCGGGGAGGGAGAGCGGCUUGCUAUGUGCGCUUUAUUUCUUCUUGCUCCCUCCGCUCCCUCCGUUCCCCCUGCGAAAGGAAAAUCCUGGUUUUCUUACAGUUGUCUGUGUGAUCUCACUUGGAGCGUGUCAACCCACUUGCACGCGGCGGUUUCCCACUCCCGGUCAAUAUCGCAGGCCUGCAGGGUGUGGGACUCGGGGCAAGGGCGGGGGGCGGGGGGCGCCAUCCGCCCUGAGCGGCGUCCGUCCAGCUCACACCCUCACCCCUCCUUCACCUUCCUCCCGCUUUUCUUUCGCGGCUCCCGCACCCUUUGCUCUUUGCUGCCAUCGUGUGGUGAUCGGGAGAAUUAACCUCGCGCGGGCGGGAAGCAGGAAAGUCCCAGGAACCGGUUAGGUGUGCUUUACGCCAGUGCAAAGUGCCUGGGGAGGGAGGUUCGUUUUGAACCGCGAUCCAGGCAAUAAGGCCUCUUGAAACAAUCUGUUAUUUCCACAUCCCGUUCGUUAACCACUCACUAGGAGCAGAGAAGGGAAAGGCGACCAAUGGCUCCGAAACAGGCCUGGGGACACUGGACGGACGCUACUGAAUUAAUCCGCUGAGCUAUUUCUGCAAUCAUUCUGUGCAGUACAUUCGAGCGAGAAACAGGCCUUUCCCAUUGACCUCGAGUGUGACCAACAGGGAUGCAAGUCUUUGAGGCUGGUCGGCUUUCCCACUUUUAAGAAUUCCCUAUUAAAAGGUUAAUGCAGGAGA